rnacentral:rRNA from 1 species
UACGUAGAAGACUAGUGUUAUUCAUCUUUAAUAGGUUUAAAAGGGUACCUAGACGGUAUUAUUAGCCCAAAAAAGGGUACAAUUUUACUAGAGUUUUAUAUGAGAAGGUAGUAUUUAUGGAGGAGAGAUUAAAUACGAUGAUACCCUAAGGACUGGUAACGGCGAAAGCAACCUUCUAUCUAAUAACUGACGUUGAGGGACGAAGGCCUGGGUAGCAAAGAGGG